GCUUGGUGCCUGAAGAGGGAGAGAGGGUUGAGAGGUUUUCUUUAUUUUUUUUUGAAGAAGGGAAAUAAAAAUUAGGGUUUUAAAUUUUUUUUGAUUUAUAUAGCAAGGCCAAACGGCGUCGUUUUGGCCUGUGUGCAUAGGUCCCAAAACGGCGCUGUUUUGGCCUAACCCAAUUUUUGACUCGCCCCCAUUAAAGGAUCCGCGUGUUUUCUUUGCAAAAUGGGCUAUUUGCGCACGUGACCCUUCCAC
rnacentral:lncRNA from 1 species